GAAUAUGGUUAUGUUAGCGGUGGUGAAUCCAUAUAGGUCUGCAUCAGCCCCAAUUCUUGCCUCCUCAGAAGAAAGAAUUCAACCGAGGGGUCAUAAGGCAGAGUGACAGACCAAGGUAACAAAUAAUUUUUACCUUCUCUAAAAAGAAAUGAGAGAGCAAAGCCCUAUUCCACUCAGAGGAAAGAGCAUGUGCAAAGGCUUUAAAAGCAGCAAGUUCGUGGAAUAACAUGGAACAAUGAGAAACAGAAAGAAAGCUCUGAAAGUUUUUAGGAUGGUAGUAGGGAGGAGGAGUUCGGCAUGUGAACACCUCUGAAAUACCAAUGCCAGUGCUAUCAUAGACAUUAUCUUCUCACCUUGUUAGGAAGAUGGUCCUUGUAAACUUGAUCUUGGGCCGGGUUUGGUGGCUUAUGCCUGUAAUCCCAGCACUUUGGGAGGCUGAGGCAGGCAGAAGACAAGUUCAAGAGUUCGAGACCAGCCUGGCCAACAUGGUGAAACCCCAUCUCUACUAAGAACACAAAAAUUAGCCGGGCGUCGUGGUGUGUGCCUGUAAUCCCAGCUACUCAGGAGGCUGAGGCAGGAGAAUCGCUUGAACCCGGUAGGCAGAGGUUGCAGUGAGCUGAGAUCGUGCCACUGCACUCCAGCCUGGGUGACAGAGCAAGACUUCAUCUAGAGAAAAACAACAACAACAACAAGAAAAAACUUGAUCUUGAUAAUUAGCAAGUGUUGAUUAGCCUUGCCAAGACUGCAAAUUCCCCAACAGACACAGCUCAUGGAGAAGGCUUUAAAGUUAUGCACCAUUAAUUCAGAAUUCAUGUAUCAAUGGAAUUUUCCAACGAUGAAGACCUGCUGGGUUUUCAGUUUGGAACCAUCAUUUAAGGAAACAGACUGUCUCUGUCGUUUAGAAGACUAAAAUCUAAAUGCAAAAAUAAGAUUUAAAGAAAUUACAUAAAACUGCACGUCACUGUCACUAUAACAACAGAGUGUCACUCUAUCACCCCGGCUGGAGUGCAGUGGCUCACUGCAACUUCUCCCAGGUUCAAGCGAUUCUCGUGCCUCAACUUUCCAAGUAGCUGGGAUUACAGUGACUUUGGGAGCUGUAUGCUGAAAUAGGGACAUUGAAAGAUGAGGAAAUUAUGGAUCUCCAAGUCACUAGAUGGAAGAGAGCACGUCAAAAACUUUAUAAGGAAGAAACGUGGAAUAAAAUGUUGGGAAAUGUGAAGAGAGAUGUUUCAGCAAGUAGAUCUCUUUUGGUUUGUAUCCAUAGUUGCAUUCUCCUUUAAAACCUCAGGGAUCUUCCUGUCGAGUAAUUUUUCUCAGAAAUGCUGCUGCUGCCCUGUUCUGUGGAAAUUCCUUUGCCACUUCAGGACCGCUGACCUGCUGCCUUCCUUGCUUAGACCUUUCCUGCUACCGCAGCCCUCUUUGGUUGCUAUGCAACCAGUCCCGGGAGGCGGUUUUACUGUGCAUGUGCUUUCCCUCAGAUGGAUGAUUUGUUUUACUGUUUUUUAUUUGUUUUUACCACAAUUUGAAUCUCAUUUUUUCCCAACAUUCUCAACUGUAAUCCUGAAUCUUGAGUUUUGACAAACUAUUAUAGUAUACAAGGCCUUAGAUUUUUACGCUUGAUUUCUAUCUGAUUUCUUCUUUAGGAAGUCUUUUUUUUUUUUUUUUUGAUGUCUCCCAGGAUUUUUUUUUUAAUUAUUAAAUGUUGGCAUGAGUCUCAUGGACAACC